UAUCGUAUGCGCGCGUUUGGUGCUCGCACAUGCAUUCGCGUGUGCAGUUAAACGGGAAACAGGCCGCGCCCGAUGCGCUCAACCUGUGCUGUCCCCGCAACGGUAAGCGACCUGCGACGCCAGACUCCGUUCUGUGGCGCCGCGCAUGCGUUUUCUAUGCCACUGUCCGAUCGAUCCGGACGGGAAGGCAAAGCGCGUGAGGCCGCCAGCCCGGAUACCGGCCAGACGCGGAGGCGGCCG
rnacentral:ncRNA from 2 species